rnacentral:rRNA from 1 species
GGAGUUAGCCGGUGCUUCUUCUGUGAGUGAUGUCCUUCCUGCCGGUUAUUGACCCGCAGGCCUUCUUCCUCACUGAAAGUGCUUUACAACCCGAAGGCCUUCUUCACACACGCGGCAUGGCUGGAUCAGGGUUGCCCCCAUUGUCCAAUAUUCCCCACUGCUGCCUCCCGUAGGAGUCUGGGCCGUGUCUCAGUCCCAGUGUGGCUGAUCAUCCUCUCAGACCAGCUACGGAUCGUCGCCUUGGUGAGCCGUUACCUCACCAACCAGCUAAUCCGACAUAGGCUCAUCCGAUAGCGCGAGGCCCGAAGGUCCCCCGCUUUCCCCCGUAGGGCGUAUGCGGUAUUAGCCUGGGUUUCCCCCAGGUUAUCCCCCACUACCCGGGCAGAUUCCUAUGCAUUACUCACCCGUCCGCCGCUCGCCACCAGGGAGCAAGCUCCCCGUGCUGCCGCUCGACUUGCAUGUGUUAGGCCUGCCGCCAGCGUUCAAUCUGAGCCAUGAUCAAACUCUGA